UACGGAGGGUGCAAGCGUUAUCCGGAUUUACUGGGUUUAAAGGGUGCGUAGGUGGGUCUGUAAGUCAGUGGUGAAAUCUCCGAGCUUAACUCGGAAACUGCCAUUGAUACUAUAGAUCUUGAAUUAUCUGGAGGUAAGCGGAAUAUGUCAUGUAGCGGUGAAAUGCUUAGAUAUGACAUAGAACACCAAUUGCGAAGGCAGCUCGCUAAACUGUAACUGACGCUGAGGCACGAAAGCGUGGGGAUCAAACAGG
rnacentral:rRNA from 1 species